ACUUUUAUAUAUAUAUAUAUAUAUAUAUAUAUAUAGUUUAAAUAUUAUUGUAUUUUGUUUUCUAGUUAUAAAGUUAUAAUGUUGAUGUUUCAAAAUAAAAAUGUUAAUUUUCAGUAAAAGUUUUAUAUCUAUUUUUUUAAUUUGGGUAUUUCAAUAUUACAGCAAGAUAAGUGUUAGCAAAAAUCAAUAUAAUAAAGAAUUUAAAAGCGACAUUAUAUAUUCAAAACACAAUCGAGUGUUAGCAAAUACAGAAUGGUUAAACGAUGAAAAUUAUACGGACCAACAUGAUGAGAUUAAGAAUAUGAAGAGUAAAACAAAGUCACAGUGUGGUGACACUAUUGAAACUAUAAGUGAGGCAGAAAAAGACAAUAUUAAAACUGCAGUUGAUGCAGAAGACGACGCUGAAGUAAUAACGUAUAAAUCAUUUAAAGGUAUGGAUGAUAGGUAUGAUUAUGAAGAACAAACAUAUUAUACGACAGGUGUGAAAAACAAUUUAUUUAGACGUAUAGCUAGAAGAAUUAAAAAAUUGGACAAAAAAUAUGAAAAAAAAUUAUUUAAAAUCUUUAAUUUUAUAGAAAAUAUAAGAAAUGAUCCUAAUAUACCAGAAUCAAAACGUCUAACAGAAAUGCUUAAACAAUUGAAUGAAGUAUCAUUGCCAUUACUGUUUAUAGUUUUCGCUGAUUUAAUUAUUUUACUCUUAGGAACAACACCUUCGUCAAUUGCAAUGUUAGCUAUUUUAAAUGGUGUUUUGGGUACUUAUGUUUAUAAAAAACAUAAUAAAUUCAAAAAAAGAAAAAACGCAAAUAUAAUAUAAAAACGAUUAUAAGAAUGCAUAGGAUUAUUCUAUUCUACUUGUUUUAAAAAAAAAUGAAUUUCUUAUAUAUCACAGCUAUUUUUAUUUUAUUUUAAAUAUAUAUAUUUAUUGUUCGUUAAGUGAUUAUGUUACUGAUAUGUACACGUUUAUAUAUAUAUAUAUAUAUAUAUAUACGCUUUGUAAAAUUAAAUUGUUAAUGUGUACUAGUACUUAUUGAAACAUAGGUAAUUGUAAGUUUCAUAAAAUUCUUUAUUUUAAUCAAUUUUUAUGUUCAUAUAUCAUUGUGCAAUCAUAUUAAUAUAAUAUUAUUAAUUAUUUAUAUUCAUAUAUACACAUAUACGUAUGUAUAUAUAUAUUACGUUUUAUUACUUUUUUAACUUUUAAAAUUGUGUUUAUUUAAUAAAAAGAAUUCAUUUUUGUUUACGCUUGGAACU
rnacentral:lncRNA from 1 species